rnacentral:tRNA from 1 species
ACUGAAAUAGUUUAAAUAAAAUACUGAUUUGUGGAUUCAGAGAUUACCAUUAUUUCAGUU